rnacentral:rRNA from 1 species
UACGGAGGGUGCAAGCGUUAUCCGGAUUCACUGGGUUUAAAGGGUGCGUAGGCGGACCUGCAAGUCGGGGGUGAAAGCCCGAGGCUCAACCUCGGAACUGCCUUCGAUACUGCGGGUCUCGAGUCCGGGAGAGGUGAGUGGAAUUCCUAGUGUAGAGGUGAAAUUCGUAGAUAUUAGGAAGAACACCAGUGGCGAAGGCGGCUCACUGGCCCGGUACUGACGCUGAGGCGCGAAAGCGUGGGGAGCAAACAGG